rnacentral:rRNA from 1 species
UACGGGGGGGGCAAGCGUUGUUCGGAAUUACUGGGCGUAAAGGGCUCGUAGGCGGCCAACUAAGUCAGACGUGAAAUCCCUCGGCUUAACCGGGGAACUGCAUCUGAUACUGGAUGGCUUGAGAUUGGGAGAGGGAUGCGGAAUUCCAGGUGUAGCGGUGAAAUGCGUAGAUAUCUGGAGGAACACCGGUGGCGAAGGCGGCAUCCUGGACCAACACUGACGCUGAGGCGCGAAAGCCAGGGGAGCAAACGGG